rnacentral:rRNA from 1 species
AUUGAACGCUGGCGGCAGGCCUAACACAUGCAAGUCGAACGAGUGGCGGACGGGUGAGUAAUGUCUGGGAAACUGCCCGAUGGAGGGGGAUAACUACUGGAAACGGUAGCUAAUACCGCAUACCAUCGGAUGUGCCCAGAUUGGAUUAGCUAGUAGGUGGGGUAACGGCUCACCUAGGCGACGAUCCCUAGCUGGUCUGAGAGGAUGACCAGCCACACUGGAACAGAGAUAGGGGCCAGACUCCUACGGAAGGCAGCAGUGGGGAAUAGUGCAAAAUAGGCGCAAGACUGAUGCAGCAAUGCAGCGUGUAUGAAGAAGGCCUUCGGGUUGUAAAGUACUUUCAGCGAGGAGGCGUUACUCGCAGAAGAAGCACCGGCUAACUCCGUGCCAGCAGCCGCGGUAAUUC